AUAUUAGUAGGCGUUGGAAAUGAUACAAAUCUGUAACCUCCGAGUAGUGGCGAAUGAAAUGAGGUUAGUUCUACCUGAAUCUGGCAAAAGCUAGAGUUGUAGGCUUGUUAACUGCUUAGACGGUUGUUUGGGUUAAGUACUGUUUGAUAACUUCGCUAGAAAAGGUGUUAGGCCUGUGAAUCCAUUCAAUUUUCGAAAGCUGGUAGCAUUAGAAUAUGUUUGAUUAAUACUUCAGACUCAAAAUAGGAUGAAUUUCCUAUGUGACUAAGUAUGAGCGAGAGACCGAUAGCGCACAAGUA
rnacentral:rRNA from 1 species